UUUGUUCUCAUAUUUUUGAGCACAAGUCUCCUCCUUAUGAGUACAAGUCUCCGCCUCCACCCUCACCGUCUCCCC